GAUGAACGCUGGCGGCGUGCUUAACACAUGCAAGUCGAACGAUGAAGCCCAGCUUGCUGGGUGGAUUAGUGGCGAACGGGUGAGUAACACGUGAGUAACCUGCCCUUAACUCUGGGAUAAGCCUGGGAAACUGGUCUAAUACCGGAUAGGAGCGUCCACCGCAUGGUGGGUGUUGGAAAGAUUUAUCGGUUUUGGAUGGACUCGCGGCCUAUCAGCUUGUUGGUGAGGUAAUGGCUCACCAAGGCGACGACGGGUAGCCGGCCUGAGAGGGUGACCGGCCACACUGGGACUGAGACACGGCCCAGACUCCUACGGGAGGCAGCAGUGGGGAAUAUUGCACAAUGGGCGAAAGCCUGAUGCAGCGACGCCGCGUGAGGGAUGACGGCCUUCGGGUUGUAAACCUCUUUCAGUAGGGAAGAAGCGAAAGUGACGGUACCUGCAGAAGAAGCACCGGCUAACUACGUG
rnacentral:rRNA from 1 species